CUGCCAAGGGCAUGGCUGGGUAGCUAUGUAUGGAAUGGAUAAGCGCUGAACGCAUCUAAGCGCGAAGCCAACUUCAAGAUAAGAUUUCCCACCGCAAGGGUAAGACCCCAGAAAGACUAGCUGGUUGAUAGGUCGAAGGUGUAAGUGCAGCAAUGUAUUUAGCUUAUCGAUACUAAUAGGUCGAGGACUUGACCAAU
rnacentral:rRNA from 1 species